rnacentral:tRNA from 1 species
GCCCGGGUGGCGAAAUUGGUAGACGCAAGGGACUUAAAAUCCCUCGGUGGCAACACCGUGCCGGUUCGACUCCGGCCCCGGGCA